GUCAAUUUUUAUAAGAAAUUUGAGAUUUUAAUUUAAAAAAUAUUUUAAAAUAGUAAAAAUAUUAUUAUAAAGGUAUAUAUACAGAAAUUUGAAAUAUAUUUAAUUUAUCAAGCAAAACUUGCCUGAGAACUGCCCAAAAAACUGCUGAAUAUGGCAAGUUGAGUAUGUUUUAUAAUUUUCAUUUGAUAAAAAAGUAAUAGAAUUAAUAUUUUAUUGUUUUUUUUAUUUCCUAAUGUUUUUGAGAAAAAUGCCUUGUUAAUUCUUAAUGAAACAUCCUGUAUACUCUCACAUAUCAUGUACUGUAUCAGAUUUGAUUAAAUCAUAAGAAUCUGAAUUCUUUCUAAAUUAAUAAAAAUUUACUUUGGAAACAUUAAAUUUUCAAGCAUUUUAUAUAAUUCAUAGAAAUAAAUUUCAUUAAAUGAAUUUUAAAAAAUCUAAUAAUUUUUUCCUAAGAAAGAUUAAUGAUGAUCUAAGAUAGCAAUUCUUAACCAUUUUUCUUCUAUGGACCCUCAUUACUAGAAGCCUUAGAGCUAUAAAAAAAUAAGGCCUAAACUUGAAUCUAAAAAUAUAUAAAAAAUUCACAGCAAAUAAAUACACGUUGUGAAAUAUUUAAUUCACAAACGAAAAAAAUAUACAAAACUUGAUAUUUUAAUUUUAAUGAGAAGAUAAUUUUAAUAAUCAGCAUCUUUUUUAAUAUUUGAUUUUAUUUCUGAGAGUUGAAUUCUGAAGACAAAUUCUUCAUUACUUAAACAGAAAAAUAGUUCUGGUAAGAAUUAUUAUUCAAUUUCUUAAAUAGUCAGGAACAUUUAACAUUGCAGAUUCCUUGGUUUCACAGACUACAAGUUAAGAACUGCUGAUUUGAGAACUCAUGAACAGGAAUCUUAACAAAUAAUGAAAAUAAUGAAAAUUACAAAUUAUUUACUAAAAGAAUAAAAUUUUAAGUAUGAAAAAUAAGUUUUGGAUUAUCCAUGUUUUUCAAUUAUUUAUUUUUUUCUCAUUAUAAGCGUGUUAAUUAUAUGUUUAUUAUUAAUAAAGAGAUCAUUCCUAUAAUAUCGUUUAGUCUUUUAUAGCAUUUCUGGGUUUAUUUUUGUAAUAUGAAAUGAUUUAAACUAAAAACAAAUUUUUUCAUGGCUAAGUCCUUUAGCACUAAUGAGCAGACCAAACACCUCUGCAACACAAUAAAAGAACUAUUUAUUGAGUAACGUUUUUGGUUAACAUGUUAAAUGUAUGAGCUGUUGAGGACUAAAAUGCCCUCAUCAGCUCAUACAUUUAACUGAAAAAAACUACUGUCGAACAUAGAACACAGACAUUAAAAACGAACUGGAAUACAAACUAAUUAGAAUGCUAGCUGUUUACAUUAUUUAAAAAUUUUUUCUAGUAAUUCCUAAAAGGAUUUAAAAUACAGAGCAAUAAUGAAUUUCUCUAAGGAGCUCUCUAUUUGCCCUUUACUAAUUUUUUCUCUUUCUACUUUAUCACUUUCCUUCAAAGCUAGAUGCAGUCUCCACUAGCUCCACCUAUCUUUCACUCCGAUCUUAGCUUAUUAAUUCCUUACACUUCUUCCUUUUGCAAUAUAUUUCCAUGAUAGUGGGAGAUCCACUGAUUGCUUUUCGUUGAUUAUUUCUCCAUCUCUUUUUCUUUCCAAGAUUCUUAGCCCUUCUGCUACAUACAAUUCCCUCGUAUCUCUUACCUUCUUAACUAUUUUCACUUUGUCUCAAUUUAUUUGAAUGUCAUACUCGUAGGCCCUCCUAGCAAGGGCUGUCAUUUUCUGGCCUCUCUCUAUAUCUUGUUUUAUGUUCUUUUAGUCUAUCCCUCAGGUUUCUGGCUGUAGUGCCUACAUAUACUUCCUUAGUUUGUCUAGUUACAUUGAUGAGGGGAACUUCAUAUACUCUGGACUGUUCCUGUGUGCUGUAUCUAUCUUUCACAUUUUUGAGUAAAUUAGUAAUUGUGCUUGUCCUUCUAUAAGAAAGAGUUUUCUUUCACUGCUUAAGGACUUUCUGCACUGUGCAUAACCCUCCAAGUUCAUCUGUAACCACUUUGUACUUCUCUUUUUUUAUCUAAUGUAUGAUCUUGCCUUCCCUUUCUUGCCUGUUGCUAUCUCCUUUUUCUUUGCUCUGCCUAAUAUCUUUAAGAGUUUUGUCUACAAUGCUUCCUGUGUAUCCAUGCCUCCAUGCUAUUUCUUUUAUCUUUCCAACUUCUAUGUGCAGGAGAUUUUCCGUACUGCAAUGGGUGAGGGCCCUUUCUAGGUAUGAUUUAAUAGCAUUUAAUAGUAAAUAAGACAGAAAUAUACAAUAAUUUGUUUUUAGAUUAUUUUCUAACUGUUUGUUUAAAUUUUUAAACUAAAUUUCAUUAUUAAUAAAAUAAGAUUUCAAAAUCAAUAGAAUUAAUAAAUAGAAGAAAAUUUAUAAAAUAUAAGAGUGCAGUGUAUACAUAAGAUAAUCUUGCAUUUAAUCUUCUUAUUGCUUUAGAAUAUAAU
rnacentral:lncRNA from 1 species